rnacentral:rRNA from 1 species
AGAUUGAACGCUGGUGGCAUGCUUAACACAUGCAAGUCGGACGGCAGCAUGAUUAGUAGCAAUACUGAUUGAUGGCGAGUGGCGGACGGGUGAGUAAUACAUAGGAACUUGCCUUAUGGAGGGGGAUAGCUCAGGGAAACUUGAGGUAAUACCGCGUAAGACCGGAAGGUGAAAGGGGGCUUGUAAAAGGGCUCUCGCCAUAAGAUGGGCCUAUGUUGGAUUAGCUAGUAGGUGGGGUAAAGGCUCACCUAGGCGACGAUCCAUAGCUGUUCUGAGAGGAAGGACAGCCACACUGGGACUGAGACACGGCCCAGACUCCUACGGGAGGCAGCAGUGGGGAAUAUUGGACAAUGGGGGCAACCCUGAUCCAGCAAUGCCAUGUGUGUGAAGAAGGCCUUCGGGUUGUAAAGCACUUUAGUGGGGGAGGAAGGGUGAUGUGUUAAUACCACAUCACUCAGACAGUACCUCAAGAAUAAGCACCGGCAAACUCUGUGCCAGCAGCCGCGGUAAUACAGAGGGUGCAAGCGUUAAUCGGAAUUAUUGGGCGUAAAGGGCUUGUAGGUGGUUAUUUAAGUUAGAUGUGAAAGCCCUGGGCUCAACCUGGGACGUGCAUUUAAGACUGGAUGACUAGAGUAUGGUAGAGGAGAGGGGAAUUCCUGGUGUAGCAGUGAAAUGCGUAGAGAUCAGGAGGAACAUCAGUGGCGAAGGCGCCUCUCUGGGCUAAUACUGACACUGAGGAGCGAAGGCGUGGGGAUCAAACAGGAUUAGAUACCCUGGUAGUCCACGCGGUAAACGAUGAAUACUAGCCGCUGGGGGGUUGAACCCUUAGUGGCGCAGCUAACGCGAUAAGUAUCC